rnacentral:rRNA from 1 species
CACGUAGGGCGCAAGCGUUGUCCGGAAUUAUUGGGCGUAAAGCGCUUGUAGGCGGCACGUCAAGUCGCGUGUGAAAUCCCCAGGCUUAACCUGGGAAGUGCGCGCGAAACUGACGAGCUUGAGUGCCGGAGAGGGUUGCGGAAUUCCCGGUGUAGAGGUGAAAUUCGUAGAUAUCGGGAGGAACACCAGUGGCGAAGGCGGCGACCUGGACGGACACUGACGCUGAGACGCGAAAGCGUGGGGAGCAAACAGG